CCUACGGGAGGCUGCAGUGGGGAAUAUUGGACAAUGGGGGGAACCCUGAUCCAGCCAUGCCGCGUGUGUGAAGAAGGCCCUCGGGUUGUAAAGCACUUUCAGUGAGGAAGAACGCCUGGUGGUUAAUACCCAUCAGGAAAGACAUCACUCACAGAAGAAGCACCGGCUAACUCCGUGCCAGCAGCCGCGGUAAUACGGAGGGUGCGAGCGUUAAUCGGAAUUACUGGGCGUAAAGCGCGCGUAGGUGGCUUGAUAAGCCGGUUGUGAAAGCCCCGGGCUCAACCUGGGAACGGCAUCCGGAACUGUCAAGCUAGAGUUCAGGAGAGGAAGGUAGAAUUCCCGGUGUAGCGGUGAAAUGCGUAGAGAUCGGGAGGAAUACCAGUGGCGAAGGCGGCCUUCUGGACUGACACUGACACUGAGGUGCGAAAGCGUGGGUAGCAAACAGGAUUAGAUACCCUGGUAGUC
rnacentral:rRNA from 1 species